UUAAAUGUUUUAAAAUAUUGGUGAGCCAUCUUUAUGGUCUUGUGAUGUUUGACUUUUUGUUUGAGUCUUAGUCAUGGUUGAUUUGACUUUUGUUUGAUCAAAACCAUUGGAUUUAGGAGAUUGAUGAAAUGUACAAGUCAUCUCCCAAAAUGAAUGGAUGGUAUUGAUCAGAUGAAAUUCCUCUCGUGAUCAAUUUGUGUUUCUAUCUCCCCCUCCCUCUUUAUCUUCAUCCCUAUUCUUC
rnacentral:lncRNA from 1 species